UUACCCAUUUUUUGGAAUUAUUCGAAAAUGUCAAAAUACAGUGCCCGUUCGAUUAUUGCAAAAUAUUUACAUUGCAUUUAACGAAUGGCAUUCGAUAAUUGCAACAACUGACAGAUGCCAAAUCGAAUGUCAUUAAAGCGAAGGGGCAUAUCAAUGUUUAUUUUUAUCAGUGCCCAUCGAAGUGGUUUCAACGAGUCGACGGAUUGCAGCUCAAUCGAAAAAGGAUGCAAACAACAAAGCAUCCGGCACUGCUUCAUUCGGAACAGCCUCGAAUCAUGUGUUCGGCGCAGAUUCGGCCCCAGCAUGUGAAAUCAAUGAUUUGUCUCGCAGCUCAACCCCGGCAACCCCAGCAACUUUUAAAUUCUUUUAUGCAUUACCAUUGGAAAGCCCCCCGCUUAAAAUGACAGACCGAUUUUUUGACAUCUGAAAGUGACGGUUAUCUGCUUUUUAAUUGCAACACGUUGCAAUAAUCGAACUUGCAAUUAAAAAGCGUUGCAAUAAUCGGUCUUACAAUCAUCGAAAGGGCACUGUAUGAGUAUUUUUUCAAAAACAUUAAAAGGGUAUUUUUCUCCCAUUAACGAGAUCGAUUGUUAGAACUAAAAAAUGGGUAGAUGGUACCCACAGAAAUAUUCGGAACGCGAAAUCGCCAUUUUCACUUUUACAAGUUGUGAAAUUAAAAACAAACAUCUGCCUGUAUUUCGGCAUUUCAAUAGUGUUUUAUAUUCCCGCAGGACAUAAGUUUCCUUACCCGAACCUACCGCUGCUGCUGUUCCUCCGUCAUAAGACCCGCUGGAUGAGGAUGGCCAAAAUGGUAGAAAAUCGGUGUGAUACCUAUAGCACAUCGAGGAGUACACUCUGCUUAUCCACACGAUGGAUAAAGCCGGUAACAUGCCAGGCCAGUUCUAGCAGUUUGGAUGGGAUAUCUCACGGGGACGUUCGUUUCGAGGAGAACCGCCACUCCCGAAAAAAAUGAAACCAAACUGUGCAAAUCAGGCGCUCCGAAUGUAAAAUGUUUGUUCGAUGUGUAUAAUUAUGAUUUGAAUUUAAAUAAAUAAAUGAAAUGUUGUUCAUUAUUAUAG